GGCGAGGGGAGUGAAAAAGAACCUGAAACCGUGUACGUACAAGCAGUGGGAGCACAGAGCAAUCUGUGUGACUGCGUACCUUUUGUAUAAUGGGUCAGCGACUUAUAUUCUGUAGCAAGGUUAACCGAAUAGGGGAGCCGAAGGGAAACCGAGUCUUAACUGGGCGUUAAGUUGCAGGGUAUAGACCCGAAACCCGGUGAUCUAGCCAUGGGCAGGUUGAAGGUUGGGUAACACUAACUGGAGGACCGAACCGACUAAUGUUGAAAAAUUAGCGGAUGACUUGUGGCUGGGGGUGAAAGGCCAAUCAAACCGGGAGAUAGCUGGUUCUCCCCGAAAGCUAUUUAGGUAGCGCCUCGUGAAUUCAUCUCCGGGGGUAGAGCACUGUUUCGGCAAGGGGGUCAUCCCGACUUACCAACCCGAUGCAAACUGCGAAUACCGGAGAAUGUUAUCACGGGAGACACACGGCGGGUGCUAACGUCCGUCGUGAAGAGGGAAACAACCCAGACCGCCAGCUAAGGUCCCAAAGUCAUGGUUAAGUGGGAAACGAUGUGGGAAGGCCCAGACAGCCAGGAUGUUGGCUUAGAAGCAGCCAUCAUUUAAAGAAAGCGUAAUAGCUCACUGGUCGAGUCGGCCUGCGCGGAAGAUGUAACGGGGCUAAACCAUGCACCGAAGCUGCGGCAGCGACACUAUGUGUUGUUGGGUAGGGGAGCGUUCUG
rnacentral:rRNA from 1 species